rnacentral:rRNA from 1 species
AUUGAACGCUGGCGGCAGGCCUAACACAUGCAAGUCGAGCGUGAAAGGGCUUCGGCCUGAGUAAAGCGGCGGACGGGUGAGUAACGCGUAGGAAUCUACCUGGUAGUGGGGGAUAACGUUCCGAAAGGGACGCUAAUACCGCAUACGUUCCGAGGAAGAAAGCGGGGGAUCGCAAGACCUCGCGCUAUCAGAUGAGCCUGCGUCCGACUAGCUAGUUGGUGGGGUAAAGGCCUACCAAGGCGACGAUCGGUAACUGGUCUGAGAGGAUGAUCAGUCACACUGGAACUGAGACACGGUCCAGACUCCUACGGGAGGCAGCAGUGGGGAAUAUUGGACAAUGGGCGCAAGCCUGAUCCAGCCAUGCCGCGUGUGUGAAGAAGGCCUCGGUUGUAAGUACGACUUAAGUACGGGAGGGAGGGACCGU